rnacentral:rRNA from 1 species
UACGUAGGGGGCAAGCGUUGUCCGGAUUUAUUGGGCGUAAAGAGCGUGUAGGCGGCCAUGCAGGUCCGUUGUGAAAACUCGAGGCUCAACCUCGAGACGCCGAUGGAAACCGCAUGGCUAGAGUCCGGAAGAGGAGAGUGGAACUCCUGGUGUAGCGGUGGAAUGCGCAGAUAUCAGGAAGAACACCAACGGCGAAGGCAGCUCGCUGGGGCGGUACUGACGCUGAGACGCGAAAGCGUGGGGAGCGAACAGG